rnacentral:rRNA from 1 species
UACGGAGGGUGCAAGCGUUAUCCGGAUUCACUGGGUUUAAAGGGUGCGUAGGUGGGUUGAUAAGUCAGUGGUGAAAUCUCCGUGCUUAACACGGAAACUGCCAUUGAUACUAUAGGUCUUGAAUUAUCUGGAGGUUAGCGGAAUAUGUCAUGUAGCGGUGAAAUGCUUAGAUAUGACAUAGAACACCAAUUGCGAAGGCAGCUGGCUACAGGUAUAUUGACACUGAGGCUCGAAAGCGUGGGGAUCAAACAGG